GCACAAGCGGUGGAUGAUGUGGUUAAUUCGAUGCAACGCGAAAACCUUACCACCUUUGACAUGUACGGAAGCCUUUAGAGAUAGAGGCGUGCUCGAAAGAGAGCCGUAACACAGGUGCUGCAUGGCUGUCGUCAGCUCGUGUCGCGAGAUGUUGGGUUAAGUCCCGCAACGAGCGCAACCCUUGUCAUUAGUUGCUACAUUCAGUUGGGCACUCUAAUGAGACUGCCGGUGACAAGCCGGAGGAAGGUGGGGAUGACGUCAAGUCCUCAUGGCCCUUAUAGGUGGGGCUACACACGUCAUACAAUGGCUGGUACAAAGGGUUGCCAACCCGCGAGGGGGAGCUAAUCCCAUAAAGCCAGUCGUAGUCCGGAUCGUAGUCUGCAACUCGACUACGUGAAGUCGGAAUCGCUAGUAAUCGUGGAUCAGAAUGUCACGGUGAAUACGUUCCCGGGUCUU
rnacentral:rRNA from 1 species